UUGACUGCAAAGCCUAUUAAUUGUAUAUUUAUUCAUAAAACGGUUUGCCUUUCGUGUUAGCUUGCUUGCCAGUUGUCCAUAGCAAGUAGCCAUCAAGCUAGCUAACGUUAGUCGUAAAUGGUAUGUAACGUUACGAUAGUCUAAACAAAACUCGACAUGAUAUAUAUAUAUAUUAAUUCGAAGCAUUGCGUUAAUUAUGAAGUCACAAAUGUAUUCUGAUCAUACACCGCUGAUAGACUAGAUGGCAUUAGCUAUAUAGCUAGCUAGCUAAAGCUAAGUCAAUGGGACUAACGUUUGCGUCAGGGUGACUGAUUUUCAUUUGAUCUAAAGUAACAUUUCUUGGUGCCCAUAAAGUGUAGAGUUUUCACGGUCUUAAAUUGAUGCCAUAUCCAGUGUGAAUGUAUAGAACCAUCAGACAGCUAGUUAACUUUAGCAUGUGUCCUUGUGAUGACCCAUGAUUCGUUUUUUUGAGGGAGUCACAGCAGUGUUGCCAACUCCUCAGUAAGGAAAGUAGCUAUUGGCUGUCCUAAAAGUCGCUAAAUGACAUCGUCACCUAAUUUGCAUAAUUGGCCAUGUGCAUGUAAUUGUGAUGGACGCUGUCGGAGAGAAGAAUAACGUCGCGGGAGAGACAAUAAAACCCCCCUCACUCACACAGGCUGUGCUGGCUCACAGAAAGAGUGGGUCAUCGUCAUUUUUGUCAAGGCUCUCUGGCAGGUUCAGCAACUGAGGGAGCUGACUUAAAUGAGUAAGCAGCUGAUGUGCCAAAAAGCUGCAAAACAUUAUCAGGCAGCUGGUGCUCAUAGCAAGCCUCACCAGACGGCUUCAGUCCAUAUCAAAUGUACAGGAUGGAGUUAAGGGUCUGCAAGGACAUCAGAUUUCUAAGUUUGCUUUUUACCACUCAUCUGGCUGAAUACUCUCUCGACUUCAGCAUUCGAGUGUGGCAAGGACAACACAGACACAGCAGCCAUGGAAGGUUCUUGAAACGGGUUGAUAUCAGCAGCAUCCCUGAACUUCCAAAACUCACUCCAGAAGCCCAGUGUGUGUUUUUGUCUCGUUCCACUUACUAAGAUGGCUGGCACACCAUUGCUGGACAAUCUUGUCUAUCCCGGCAGUGGAGUAGCCAAGGAGCUUGGCUAUUUUUUUUCUAUUUCUCCAGGGCUCUUAUUGCGCUUUAGCGUUUCCUCCACAUUGAAAUCUGACAUGUACUGCAAUGCUUCGAUGUUGUCUGGCAAUCUCACCCUCAACUCAUUAGUGAGGGAAAUGGUAAAGGCUACACACUGCUUUCGGACAUUGUUUUCAUCCUCAGGCGCAAGGUGGAGCUCCACUGCCUUUGACUUAAAUGUAACCAAGGUACGGUUUGGGACUGAUGUAUCCAUCUAUUGGCCCUUUGCUUACAUCAACAUUUGCCAGUGGAUUCAGCACCCCGCUGCUCACAGACUUGAUCAGGCUAACCAAGCUUAAGAGGAUCUACUGGCUCUCCCUCCAAAAGCCUUGAUGGCCAACUGUACCUCACCCAGCACUGACUUCAAAAAAGUCAGAUACAAUAUGUUUUGAGGAUCACUGUACAUGGAGUAUAAAACCUCAGCCAUGUAGCAGUGUUCACUGGACUUGGUGACUGCGAAAUGCAGCCUAAGCUCCUCCCACUGGUCCAAAAUGCAUGAAACCGCAGAUUCAAUGGAGAGCUAACGUGUGGCACACACCUUGGUUAUCUGUAAAGGUUUCUCCCCACAGUUGUUGGUCUCAUAUAUGACCGUGUAGGCCUCCCUGCGCUUUGGAGACACUAAAAACCAGUUACAAGUCACUCGUACCAAGUACUCCACACUACGGGAGAUGGUGUCAUUGGAAGCAUGACUUACAGCAAGCUGCAGAGUGGCGCGCACACACAGCGAAUAAGAACCAGAUAUGAGGCUAUACUCUUCCUUCAGCACUUUAUGGACCCCAUUGUUAAUCCCUGUCAUAAGAGGCAUUCAGUCCCUAUCCCCAGGAGUUUCUCUUAAGACAACACUUCUCGAGGAAAGCCACAAUAGCACGGGCUAUAGAUUUGGCAUGUCCAACUCAACGAGCCCCAGAAAUGUCAGUACAAUUGUCUGCUUGGACUCACUAAAGUACCUUAUCACAACUCCCAGGUACUUAGAAACACUUGCAUCCAUGGACUCAUCGGAGGCUGAAACGCUGGCCACCCACAUCUGCGACCAACCUUUUCAGAAAGUAUGGUGCUAGAACACCAUUAAUCAUUUCUGUGCACUUUGUCCUGUGCAUUUUGAAGUGGGUAGCAGCAGAGGAGUCUGAGAAAGCAGCUCUACAUGCUUCUCCAAUGUGAUCACAUGCCAGCAUGGUAGGUACAGUGUUCAGCGAUAGCUAAUGCCAUUGUGGCCUCAGCAUUUUAUGCAGAGAAGUUUUUUUUUAACCAUAAAUGGCAGCUUGUUUUGGGUGGAACUGUUAUAAGGCUCUACCUUUUGAGUAUGUUUUUGAGUUGUCGUUUUUUUUUUUUUUUUUUA